rnacentral:lncRNA from 1 species
AGCUUUAAGUAGGUUUUGAUUCUUGUCAGGUGCUCUGCCUCAUAUUCACACCUAGUGGUGUGGAUGGAGGCUGGAGCCAUGGAAAAAGAAGUCAAAAGGCACCCAUCAUUCUCUACUUUGUUUAUAAUCGACCUGUGCUUUACAUGUGAGUUCUCAUCACACAACAUGUGUGGGUAAAUGCUGCAUGCAAUAACAUAAAGCUUGUGUUUCAGGCAAUGCUUCACACAAACUCAUAAGAAGGAAAGGGGAAGGAGAAGCAGAAAUGGACACACUUCUAGAAAGAGGUGAAUUACAGUUAUGAACUUAGCUGUGACUUCAGGGCAUAUGUAGAAUAUAUUAUUUAAUUCUCACAAAAAUCUAAUGUGAUAAUUAUGUCUGCUUCCAUUUUGGUAGAUGAAGUUUCACUUAAGUAAGCAUAUAGUUUUUAUUCUUAGUCUCCUUAAAUAUCAAUGUGAUUUGUUCAUACCUGAGAAAAAAAUCUUUUUAGAUACAUUUUUGUAUCCUUCCCUGAUAAUGAGUGUCGGUGGUCUCCACUCCUAAUAAUAGCUUAGUAUUUUAAAAAUCUAUGAUGAAUUUGACAUCUGAAGCCAGAGUUCCUCUCGCUUAACCCUCUCAAUGUUUAAACCUUUCAUUACCAUGUAUAACUGUUCAGUUUCCCUAUCAUAAUGAGGAAAAGAUAGCCAUCCUGGCUUGGUUCCUUCCAUAGCAACUGGCCCAUACCUUCUCCUCUGGUAACCACAUACACAUCAAUUGUCUUAUAGCUACUACAUUUAGUGUUCUUUGCAAGUGGGCAUCCCAUAAUAGUGUCUUGGGCUUGCUAUUUUAAAUAUCAUCACAUAUGGUUUUAAGCAAAAGAAACGUGCUACCACACAGCUCUGCAGUUGGAUGUCUGAUAUUAAGAUUUUGACAGGAUUGAUACCUCAGGAAGAUGUGAGGAAAGGAUAUGUCAGGCCUUGACUCUAGCUCUGAUGAAUGCUGACAAUCUGGCAUUCAUUGACUUGAAGAGUCACGUUGAUUACCUUCUUCAUCUUGACAUGGAGAUAACCUGUUACACCCCUUUCAUUCCAAUGAGGACAUUCAUCUAAUCCUUACAACCUCACCUUAAUUAUCUUAGUUUUAAAAACAAUAAUAAGGUAUGAUUGUUCUGCCUGUGGGCAUCUCUGUUUACCACAUGCAUGCCUGGUGCUCUGAGAUGCCAAAAGAUGGCAUCUGCUGGCAGAUCCCUUGGGAAUGGAGUUACAAAUGACUGUGGGUUGUCAUGUGCCUGCUGGUAUCCAAACCCUGGUCCUCUAGAAGAGCAGCCAAUGCUCUUAGCACUAGAGUCUAUCUCUAGUCCACAAUUUCAUCUUAAUUUAACUAAUUAGGACAUCAAAGAACAUAAUACAAACAAGGAUACAGCUGAGCUGCUAGAGGCUAGAGCUUCAUGACAGCAAUUCUGGAGGAAUACAUUUUAACUCAGAACACUUUCCGCUUAUUACUUUUAAUUUCCUUAGCAACCACUGAAUCCUCCAUUCCUUGCCCAUGUUUGUGCAACAUCCUGUCAUCACUGAAGCAUGACAUGAAUUUAGAAGAUGAAAAUAGUUAGACCUGGUUCUACAUCCACUCUAAGUGUAAUAGCUACAUAUGAGUCAGUGCCUCACAGUUUAAUCAGGGCAGAAGGUGAAACCUUAGUUAUAGCUAUUGGUGAAGAUGCACUUUUUAAAAAUUCAACUUCUUUUUAUCUUUUAUUUUACUCAUAAACUGGACAUCUUGGAUAUUGUGGGCAUAUCUUCCAAGGGCACUGGGUAAUCAUAUAGAAGCAGUACGACUGAAUACAUCUGAAAACAAGGAAAAUGUCUUCAAACCCUUUUCAUAUAACAGAAGUGUUGUGGGUUCAUAUCAGAUACAUUAAAUUCUCCCUUGUGACAUCUGGGACAAAGGUACAGAAGUGCAGCUCAUCAGUACCUCUUUGAGUGACUAUGUAAUUCUAUAAGCAUAUUACUUCACUCAUCUAGCUCAUCAUAGGGCACUGGCAAUAGGAUACUGACUACACAUCUGACCCAAUAAAGUAGUGAGAUGUCUCCAGCUUUUGGUAGUUGCUACCAUAACUAUAUUGAAGAAUCACUUUGUCCUUUUACAGCCCACCAAAUUUCAGAGGUUAAGACGAGAGAGAGAAGGGUCCUGAAAGCAGUUUAAAAGGCUGGUUUAUGAUUUCUAAGAAAAUUGUACCAAUUUGCUGUUGUCUCCAUCCAAAUUGAAAUUCACUCAAUAUUUGUCAUUAAUUAAAGAAAAGAAAGAAAAGUGCUUUUAAAUGCAAAGUGAAUCUUUUUAAGUGAAAUGAAAUAAAAGCAUCAUCUUUAAAGUGAACAUUUUACAGAGAGAAAGUGAAAGUUAAAAGUGCGUAGGUAGAGGUGGUAGAAGUUGGCACCUAGAGAAUGAAAACUGGGGUGGAUCUGAGCAACCUUUUCAAUUCUAACUUUUCAAUUUUAUAUCCAAACUCUAUCAUGUGCUAUAUUGCUAUGGAAAGUUCUUCAACUUUCAAGAGAGCAAACUUAUGUCUACCUCUUUUUCGUGGGCAAGGUAUUACUAAAAUAAUCACUGACAAACAAAGAACUAACAUGUAGGCCUGGAUUUUGAGGCAACAUGUGCACAGGAUUUAAAAAAAAAAGCACUGCAAUUUAUCCCACGAAUAUUAAUUGUUUUAUUCACAGUUGCCUUAUUCUUCAUUACAUUGAUUGAAGUUAGUCUGCAAUGCACUCUGGGAGAUUUUGACAUUUGCUGUCAGAGAUUUAACUUGUCACUAUGACAGGGACAAGAAAAGUUGGCAACACAGACAGAUAUAAGUAGUGACUUUUAAGCCUUUGUGUCAAAGGAAACCAGGCUGAUGAUACUGAAAAUAAUGGGUAUAUGAAGAAGGCUAGGGAGAAGGGGCAUGCAGCAUAAGUAGUAAAAACACCACUGGAAAAUUACAAAGGGCCAAGGCAGUCCCUACAGGACACAGAAGUCGUGGAAGAACAGAAAGUGAGAUGUCCAAACAGUCUAGAAAAUAAAAACUAUUGGAAGUAUAAUAACUAUAAAACUUUUAGGCAUUCCAUUCUAAGACGGCCAUCAUGUAUAAUUACCUAAAAGGAUAAAGGGACCCUCUUUUUGUUUAUCAAAAGAUGCAUUGGGCUUGCUUUCUCCCAAAUAGCAGAGCAUUAUUUAAAUUUACACAUGUUGGAUGUCAGUAGAUGGACUCUUCAUCUGGCAUAUAAGGCUUUUCAAUAUCAAAGGAGGAAAAAUAAGGAGAAAUUCAGAAAUGAAAACUC